rnacentral:lncRNA from 11 species
AUUGGGAAGUGGCUUUUUCCGUACAACAUGGCGGAGUUGGAAAAAAAAAAAGGAGAGGAAAGGGAGAAGAAAGAAAGAAGGAAAGAUGAAAGUUGAAUUGCCUUUUCUCUCGAUCUCUUUGGGGAACAAACAACACAACAAGCAACGGGUUCCGAUUAGGCGGCAAUUAACUCUCUCCUUGCAAAAGAUGGAGGGGAUUCUCAACGCCGGAGGGAGAGAUGAAUCAAAUAAAGCCUCAAAUUAUGCCGAUCACGGCGGCCUUUGCCCAUCGAGAGAAAAUGGGUUUCGAUGCGAAUGGUAUAGCAGCAGGAGAUUAUAAUCGGGUGGAAUAAUCAGCAUUCAGGAGGGAAUCUCCUCUCAUUUCAAGGCUCCAAAAGCUCUGCUCUUCGCCAUGACAAGGAUGCUUUGGCUUCACACCCAUUAUAAUAUGUUCUCUAAAAAAAUAAAUAUCAUCUCGGUAGAAGUCGCCGUUUGGCUGAGACCGUCUAUUUGGAAACAUCUGGAAGAUACCGGAUGUGAAAUGACCUUUGUA